GAGUUUCAACAACGGAUCUCUUGGCUCUCGCAUCGAUGAAGAACGCAGCGAAAUGCGAUAAGUAAUGUGAAUUGCAGAAUUCAGUGAAUCAUCGAAUCUUUGAACGCACCUUGCGCUCCUUGGUAUUCCUUGGAGCAUGCCUGUUUGAGUAUCAU
rnacentral:rRNA from 1 species